UACGUAGGGUGCGAGCGUUAAUCGGAAUUACUGGGCGUAAAGCGUGCGCAGGCGGUUUUUCAAGUCUGAUGUGAAAGCCCCGGGCUUAACCUGGGAACUGCGUUGGAAACUGAAAGACUAGAGUGCGGCAGAGGGGGGUAGAAUUCCACGUGUAGCAGUGAAAUGCGUAGAGAUGAGGAGGAACACCAGUGGCGAAGGCGGCCACCUGGACAGUAACUGACGCUGAGGCGCGAAAGCGUGGGUAGCAAACAGG
rnacentral:rRNA from 1 species